AUUUCCUUUAAUACGGUCCAGAGAGGCUGAAAAGGGCUACAUGAUAUUUUUAAAGCUAACAAUAUCUUUGUUUUCUCAUGCCCUUUUGUCCUCUGUGACAGAAGGGCUUUUAUU
rfam:Lysinibacillus xylanilyticus strain DSM 23493 Scaffold7, whole genome shotgun sequence.